AGUGAACGCUGGCGGUAGGCCUAACACAUGCAAGUCGAACGGCAGCACAGUAAGAGCUUGCUCUUACGGGUGGCGAGUGGCGGACGGGUGAGGAAUACAUCGGAAUCUACUUUUUCGUGGGGGAUAACGUAGGGAAACUUACGCUAAUACCGCAUACGACCUACGGGUGAAAGCAGUGGAUCUUCGGACCUUGCGCGAUUGAAUGAGCCGAUGUCGGAUUAGCUAGUUGGCGGGGUAAAGGCCCACCAAGGCGACGAUCCGUAGCUGGUCUGAGAGGAUGAUCAGCCACACUGGAACUGAGACACGGUCCAGACUCCUACGGGAGGCAGCAGUGGGGAAUAUUGGACAAUGGGCGCAAGCCUGAUCCAGCCAUACCGCGUGGGUGAAGAAGGCGUUCGGGUUGUAAAGCCCUUUUGUUGGGAAAGAAAAGCAGCAGGUUAAUACCCCGCUGUUCUGACGGUACCCAAAGAAUAAGCACCGGCUAACUUCGUG
rnacentral:rRNA from 1 species